rnacentral:rRNA from 1 species
AAUAGAUACCCAGGUAGUCCACGCCGUAAACGAUGAGUGCUAAGUGUUGGGGGGUUUCCGCCCCUCAGUGCUGCAGCUAACGCAUUAAGCACUCCGCCUGGGGAGUACGGCCGCAAGGCUGAAACUCAAAGGAAUUGACGGGGGCCCGCACAAGCGGUGGAGCAUGUGGUUUAAUUCGAAGCAACGCGAAGAACCUUACCAGGUCUUGACAUCCCGCUGCCCGGUAUAGAGAUAUACCUUUCCCUUCGGGGACAGCGGUGACAGGUGGUGCAUGGUUGUCGUCAGCUCGUGUCGUGAGAUGUUGGGUUAAGUCCCGCAACGAGCGCAACCCUUGAUCUUAGUUGCCAGCAUUUAGUUGGGCACUCUAAGGUGACUGCCGGUGACAAACCGGAGGAAGGUGGGGAUGACGUCAAAUCAUCAUGCCCCUUAUGACCUGGGCUACACACGUGCUACAAUGGAUGGUACAAAGGGCUGCAAGACCGCGAGGUUUAGCCAAUCCCAUAAAACCAUUCUCAGUUCGGAUUGCAGGCUG